GGUUAAGCGACUAAGCGUACACGGUGGAUGCCCUGGCAGUCAGAGGCGAUGAAGGACGUGCUAAUCUGCGAUAAGCGUCGGUGAGGUGAUAUGAACCGUUAUAACCGGCGAUUUCCGAAUGGGGAAACCCAGUGUGAUUCGUCACACUAUCAUUAACUGAAUCCAUAGGUUAAUGAGGCGAACCGGGGGAACUGAAACAUCUAAGUACCCCGAGGAAAAGAAAUCAACCGAGAUUCCCCCAGUAGCGGCGAGCGAACGGGGAGCAGCCCAGAGCCUGAAUCAGUGUGUGUGUUAGUGGAAGCGUCUGGAAAGGCGCGCGAUACAGGGUGACAGCCCCGUACACAAAAAUGCACAUGCUGUGAGCUCGAUGAGUAGGGCGGGACACGUGGUAUCCUGUCUGAAUAUGGGGGGACCAUCCUCCAAGGCUAAAUACUCCUGACUGACCGAUAGUGAACCAGUACCGUGAGGGAAAGGCGAAAAGAACCCCGGCGAGGGGAGUGAAAAAGAACCUGAAACCGUGUACGUACAAGCAGUGGGAGCACAGAGCAAUCUGUGUGACUGCGUACCUUUUGUAUAAUGGGUCAGCGACUUAUAUUCUGUAGCAAGGUUAACCGAAUAGGGGAGCCGAAGGGAAACCGAGUCUUAACUGGGCGUUAAGUUGCAGGGUAUAGACCCGAAACCCGGUGAUCUAGCCAUGGGCAGGUUGAAGGUUGGGUAACACUAACUGGAGGACCGAACCGACUAAUGUUGAAAAAUUAGCGGAUGACUUGUGGCUGGGGGUGAAAGGCCAAUCAAACCGGGAGAUAGCUGGUUCUCCCCGAAAGCUAUUUAGGUAGCGCCUCGUGAAUUCAUCUCCGGGGGUAGAGCACUGUUUCGGCAAGGGGGUCAUCCCGACUUACCAACCCGAUGCAAACUGCGAAUACCGGAGAAUGUUAUCACGGGAGACACACGGCGGGUGCUAACGUCCGUCGUGAAGAGGGAAACAACCCAGACCGCCAGCUAAGGUCCCAAAGUCAUGGUUAAGUGGGAAACGAUGUGGGAAGGCCCAGACAGCCAGGAUGUUGGCUUAGAAGCAGCCAUCAUUUAAAGAAAGCGUAAUAGCUCACUGGUCGAGUCGGCCUGCGCGGAAGAUGUAACGGGGCUAAACCAUGCACCGAAGCUGCGGCAGCGACACUAUGUGUUGUUGGGUAGGGGAGCGUUCUGUAAGCCUGUGAAGGUGUACUGUGAGGUGUGCUGGAGGUAUCAGAAGUGCGAAUGCUGACAUAAGUAACGAUAAAGCGGGUGAAAAGCCCGCUCGCCGGAAGACCAAGGGUUCCUGUCCAACGUUAAUCGGGGCAGGGUGAGUCGACCCCUAAGGCGAGGCCGAAAGGCGUAGUCGAUGGGAAACAGGUUAAUAUUCCUGUACUUGGUGUUACUGCGAAGGGGGGACGGAGAAGGCUAUGUUGGCCGGGCGACGGUUGUCCCGGUUUAAGCGGGUAGGCUGGUUUUCCAGGCAAAUCCGGAAAAUCAAGGCUGAGGCGUGAUGACGAGGCACUACGGUGCUGAAGCAACAAAUGCCCUGCUUCCAGGAAAAGCCUCUAAGCAUCAGGUAACAUCAAAUCGUACCCCAAACCGACACAGGUGGUCAGGUAGAGAAUACCAAGGCGCUUGAGAGAACUCGGGUGAAGGAACUAGGCAAAAUGGUGCCGUAACUUCGGGAGAAGGCACGCUGAUAUGUAGGUGAAGUCCCUCGCGGAUGGAGCUGAAAUCAGUCGAAGAUACCAGCUGGCUGCAACUGUUUAUUAAAAACACAGCACUGUGCAAACACGAAAGUGGACGUAUACGGUGUGACGCCUGCCCGGUGCCGGAAGGUUAAUUGAUGGGGUUAGCGGUAACGCGAAGCUCUUGAUCGAAGCCCCGGUAAACGGCGGCCGUAACUAUAACGGUCCUAAGGUAGCGAAAUUCCUUGUCGGGUAAGUUCCGACCUGCACGAAUGGCGUAAUGAUGGCCAGGCUGUCUCCACCCGAGACUCAGUGAAAUUGAACUCGCUGUGAAGAUGCAGUGUACCCGCGGCAAGACGGAAAGACCCCGUGAACCUUUACUAUAGCUUGACACUGAACAUUGAGCCUUGAUGUGUAGGAUAGGUGGGAGGCUUAGAAGUGUGGACGCCAGUCUGCAUGGAGCCGACCUUGAAAUACCACCCUUUAAUGUUUGAUGUUCUAACGUGGACCCGUGAUCCGGGUUGCGGACAGUGUCUGGUGGGUAGUUUGACUGGGGCGGUCUCCUCCUAAAGAGUAACGGAGGAGCACGAAGGUUGGCUAAUCCUGGUCGGACAUCAGGAGGUUAGUGCAAUGGCAUAAGCCAGCUUGACUGCGAGCGUGACGGCGCGAGCAGGUGCGAAAGCAGGUCAUAGUGAUCCGGUGGUUCUGAAUGGAAGGGCCAUCGCUCAACGGAUAAAAGGUACUCCGGGGAUAACAGGCUGAUACCGCCCAAGAGUUCAUAUCGACGGCGGUGUUUGGCACCUCGAUGUCGGCUCAUCACAUCCUGGGGCUGAAGUAGGUCCCAAGGGUAUGGCUGUUCGCCAUUUAAAGUGGUACGCGAGCUGGGUUUAGAACGUCGUGAGACAGUUCGGUCCCUAUCUGCCGUGGGCGCUGGAGAACUGAGGGGGGCUGCUCCUAGUACGAGAGGACCGGAGUGGACGCAUCACUGGUGUUCGGGUUGUCAUGCCAAUGGCACUGCCCGGUAGCUAAAUGCGGAAGAGAUAAGUGCUGAAAGCAUCUAAGCACGAAACUUGCCCCGAGAUGAGUUCUCCCUGACUCCUUGAGAGUCCUGAAGGAACGUUGAAGACGACGACGUUGAUAGGCCGGGUGUGUAAGCGCAGCGAUGCGUUGAGCUAACCGGUACUAAUGAACCGUGAGGCUUAACCUU
rnacentral:rRNA from 1 species